rnacentral:misc_RNA from 1 species
GGAUAGCAAGUGCUUCAUUCGAUAAGUCAGUAAAAUUAUGGAAUGGAACCACAGGAAAAUUUGUUGCUGCAUUCCGAGGCCAUGUUGGACCUGUUUAUCAGAUAAGCUGGUCAGCCGACAGUAGGCUACUUUUGAGUGGGAGCAAAGAUUCAACCUUGAAGGUUUGGGAUAUCCGGACAAAAAAAUUGAAACAAGACCUUCCCGGCCAUGCUGACGAGGUUUUCGCGGUCGACUGGAGUCCAGACGGCGAAAAAGUAGCAUCUGGUGGUAAAGAUAGAGUUCUGAAGCUAUGGAUGGGAUAGAAACAAGGGUGACUCCACCCCUAUACCAAUGAAGCUCUUGUUUUUAGCCUGGAAAAUUCAAGGCCCCUACUUUUAUUUAUUAGAUAUAUAAAAUAUGUAAUUCAAGUAGUAAUCGC